rnacentral:misc_RNA from 1 species
GCCACUUCAAUUAUAAAUCAACGGAGUUUCAAGGAAACGUGAACAAGAUGUUCAUUGGACAUGGGGAAUCUAUUUACAAGUAAAUGAGAAUUACAUAAUUAAACAACAUAAAGUUUUGAAACUAAGAAUUCCAUUUGGAGCCAACUGUACUGAUAUUCAACAAGUUGAUGCAAUAGCCUCCAGCAGAGCAGCAACAAAUUCCAUUUGUUUCUCUUGAUGAACUCUAUGGAAGGUAGGAACAUGGACAAACAGACACUUGUGACCUUUUUCCUCUGCAAAUCGGAGAGAAUGAUAGUACACAUAAUUGCACACAAAACGACCUGCAUCGUCCGACAACGUCACAUCAAACCCUUUCUUCUUUAACAACUCCAGGAUUGACUCGGUAGGGCAACAUGUCUUUCUUAUUUGAUUUAUUCCUCCAUCUUCUGGAACAAUAGGCACUCGCUGAGGUUGCCAACCAAGCUCAUCUGCACAACGAAAUGUGGCUUCAUUAACUGCCAGCCUCUCAAUUGCAAACUUUGUUGCUCCACUGUUUACCCCAAGGUGAAGCCAUAUGACUUGUCCAUUAUUUGAACUGUUACUAGCAGAGGACGCCUCUAUAACCUUCAACAAUGUUGGAAGUCCACCCUCUCCAGCUGUUUCAAGAACAGUACAGCUACCCAAGGUCACACCAGCAGGUAAUCCUUUCUUUUCAACAUAAUAUUUCAAGUUGCUAACUGCCGUCUCCGUAGGAUUCUGAGCUACACCGUGAAAUUUCUUGAACCCCGUGACAUGAAUGGUCACAGAUUUUGGCCCCUCCGAUCCCAUUUCCUCGUGCAAAAUACGAAUAGGAAUCCUAAAUGAAGUUCUUUGAUCCUUGGGAUUAUGAAAAUGGAAGAGAAAGGCCAGAGAGAACAAAG